AUUGAACGCUGGCGGCAGGCCUAACACAUGCAGGUCGAACGGCAGCGGGAAGUAGCUUGCUACUUUGCCGGCGAGUGGCGGACGGGUGAGUAAUGUCUGGGAAACUGCCUGAUGGAGGGGGAUAACUACUGGAAACGGUGGCUAAUACCGCAUGACGUCGCAAGACCAAAGAGGGGGACCUUCGGGCCUCUUGCCAUCGGAUGUGCCAAGAUGGGAUUAGCUAGUAGGCGGGGUAAUGGCCCACCUAGGCGACGAUCCCUAGCUGGUCUGAGAGGAUGACCAGCCACACUGGGACUGAGACACGGCCCAGACUCCUACGGGAGGCAGCAGUGGGGAAUAUUGCACAAUGGGCGCAAGCCUGAUGCAGCCAUGCCGCGUGUGUGAAGAAGGCCUUCGGGUUGUAAAGCACUUUCAGCGAGGAGGAAGGGGUUGAACUUAAUACGUUCAAUCAUUGACGUUACUCGCAGAAGAAGCACCGGCUAACUCCGUGCCAGCAGCCGCAGUAA
rnacentral:rRNA from 1 species